rnacentral:rRNA from 1 species
UACGUAUGGUGCAAGCGUUAUCCGGAUUUACUGGGUGUAAAGGGAGCGUAGGCGGCGCGUUAAGUCUGAUGUGAAAACCCGAGGCUCAACCACGGGAGUGCAUUGGAAACUGGCGGGCUGGAGUGCCGGAGAGGUAAGCGGAAUUCCUAGUGUAGCGGUGAAAUGCGUAGAUAUUAGGAGGAACACCAGUGGCGGAGGCGGCUUACUGGACGGCAACUGACGCUGAGGCUCGAAAGCGUGGGUAGCAAACAGG